rnacentral:rRNA from 1 species
UACAGAGGGGGCAAGCGUUGUUCGGAAUUACUGGGCGUAAAGGGCGCGUAGGCGGCCUGUUAAGUCGAACGUGAAAUCCCCGGGCUCAACCCGGGAACUGCGUCCGAUACUGGCAGGCUUGAAUCCGGGAGAGGGAUGCGGAAUUCCAGGUGUAGCGGUGAAAUGCGUUGAUAUCAUCAGGAACACCGGUGGCGAAGGCGGCUUUCUGGGUCUUACCUGACGCUGAGGAACGAAAGCUAGGGGAGCGAACGGG